UACGUAGGGGGCGAGCGUUGUCCGGAAUCAUUGGGCGUAAAGCGCGUGUAGGCGGCUCGGUAAGUCUGCUGUGAAAGUCCAGGGCUCAACCCUGGAAUGCCGGUGGAAACUGUCGAGCUUGAGUCCGGAAGAGGCGAGUGGAAUUCCUGGUGUAGCGGUGAAAUGCGCAGAUAUCAGGAGGAACACCAAUGGCGAAGGCAGCUCGCUGGGACGGUACUGACGCUGGGACGCGAAAGCGUGGGGAGCAAACAGG
rnacentral:rRNA from 1 species